UCAACCGGAAGGGACGGCAAUUCCGUCCCAGCAGCCGCGGUAAUUAGUAGGUCCCAGCGUUGUCGGGAUUUAUUGGGCGUAAAGCGAGCGCAGGCGGUUUGAUAAGUUGGAUGUCAAAGGCAAUGGCUCAACCAUUGUACGCAUCCAAAACUGUCAGACUUGAGUGCAGGAGAGGAGAGUGGAAUUCCAUGUGUAGCGGUGAAAUGCGUAGAUAUAUGGAGGAACACCAGUGGCGAAGGCGGCUCUCUGGCCUGUAACUGACGCUGAGGCUCGAAAGCGUGGGGAGCGAACAGGAUUAGAUACCCUGGUAGUCCACGCCGUAAACGAUGAGUGCUAAGUGUUGGAGGGUUUCCACCCUUCAGUGCUGCAGCAAACGCAUUAAGCACUCCGCCUGGGGAGUACGACCGCAAGGUUGAAACUCAAAGGAAUUGACGGGGGCCCGCACAAGCGGUGGAGCAUGUGGUUUAAUUCGAAGCAACGCGAAGAACCUUACCAGGUCUUGACAUCCUUCUGACCGCACUAGAGAUAGUGUUUCUCUUCGGAGCAGAAGUGACAGGUGGUGCAUGGUUGUCGUCAGCUCGUGUCGUGAGAUGUUGGGUUAAGUCCCGCAACGAGCGCAACCCUUAUGUUUAGUUACCAUCAUUGAGUUGGGGACUCUAGACAGACUGCCGGUGACAAACCGGAGGAAGGUGGGGAUGACGUCAAAUCAUCAUGCCCCUUAUGACCUGGGCUACACACGUGCUACAAUGGGGAGUACAACGAGCAGCGAACUAGUGAUAGUAAGCGAAUCUCUGAAAGCUCCUCUCAGUUCGGAUUGUAGGCUGCAACUCGCCUACAUGAAGCCGGAAUCGCUAGUAAUCGCGGAUCAGCACGCCGCGGUGAAUACGUUCCCGGGCCUUGUACACACCGCCCGUCACACCACGAGAGUUUGUAACACCCGAAGUCGGUGAGGUAACCUUUUAGGAGCCAGCCGCCG
rnacentral:rRNA from 1 species